CCUACGGGUCGCAGCAGUGGGGAAUAUUGCACAAUGGGCGCAAGCCUGAUGCAGCCAUGCCGCGUGUAUGAAGAAGGCCUUCGGGUCGUAAAGUACUUUCAGCGGGGAGGAAGGUGUUGUGGUUAAUAACCACAGCAAUUGACGUUACCCGCAGAAGAAGCACCGGCUAACUCCGUGCCAGCAGCCGCGGUAAUACGGAGGGUGCAAGCGUUAAUCGGAAUUACUGGGCGUAAAGCGCACGCAGGCGGUCUGUCAAGUCGGAUGUGAAACCCCGGGCUCAACCUGGGAACUGCAUUCGAAACUGGCAGGCUAGAGUCUUGUAGAGGGGGGUAGAAUUCCAGGUGUAGCGGUGAAAUGCGUAGAGAUCUGGAGGAAUACCGGUGGCGAAGGCGGCCCCCUGACAAAGACUGACGCUCAGGUGCGAAAGCGUGGGGAGCAAACAGGAUUAGAUACCCCGGUAGUC
rnacentral:rRNA from 1 species